rnacentral:rRNA from 1 species
GAUGAACGCUGGCGGCGUGCCUAAUACAUGCAAGUCGAGCGAACAGACGAGGAGCUUGCUCCUCUGACGUUAGCGGCGGACGGGUGAGUAACACGUGGAUAACCUACCUAUAAGACUGGGAUAACUUCGGGAAACCGGAGCUAAUACCGGAUAAUAUAUUGAACCGCAUGGUUCAAUAGUGAAAGACGGUUUUGCUGUCACUUAUAGAUGGAUCCGCGCCGCAUUAGCUAGUUGGUAAGGUAACGGCUUACCAAGGCAACGAUGCGUAGCCGACCUGAGAGGGUGAUCGGCCACACUGGAACUGAGACACGGUCCACACUCCUACGGGAGGCAGCAGUAGGGAAUCUUCCGCAAUGGGCGAAAGCCUGACGGAGCAACGCCGCGUGAGUGAUGAAGGUCUUCGGAUCGUAAAACUCUGUUAUUAGGGAAGAACAAAUGUGUAAGUAACUAUGCACGUCUUGACGGUACCUAAUCAGAAAGCCACGGCUAACUACGU